UACGGGGGGGGCAAGCGUUGUUCGGAAUUACUGGGCGUAAAGGGCUCGUAGGCGGCCAACUAAGUCAGACGUGAAAUCCCCAGGCUCAACCUGGGAACUGCGUCUGAUACUGGAUGGCUUGAAUUCGGGAGAGGGAUGCAGAAUUCCAGGUGUAGCGGUGAAAUGCGCAGAUAUCAGGAAGAACACCCGUGGCGAAGGCGGCUCUCUGGGACGGUACUGACGCUGAGACGCGAAAGCGUGGGGAGCAAACAGG
rnacentral:rRNA from 1 species